AAUAAUGAGCUAAAACGUGGUGGGUGGUUACCUCAUGGGGUAAAGGUGGACUUUUUUUUAAGGUAGACUGACAACUCUUGAGUGUCAUAAUUAUUGCUUAUUCUCAGGGUUACAAAUAGUUAUGAAACCCCAGUAAAUUACAAACAAAUUACUUAAAAAAUCAUACAAUGUGAUUUCUGGAUUUUUUUUAGAUUAUGUUUCUAUGAGUGGAAAUGCAUCUAUGAUUGAAAUUUCAGACCUCUACCUAUUUUCUAAGUAGGUGAACUCGCAAAAUCACAAGGGGUGCAAAUACUUCUGAUCCUCACUGAAUAUAUAUUUUAAAAAAGAAACCAAUUUCAAGGCUGUGUCUUGGACAUGGGGAAACUAAUUGACAGAAGGAUUGGAAGUCUUUUCAUAUUCAUUCAUCUUCCAAGCCGCUUAUCCUCAUGAGGUUCGAUGGGGUGCUGGAGCCUAUCCCAGCUAACUAUGUGCACUAGGCAGGGUACAUCCUGAAUUGGUUGCCAGCCAAUCGCAAGGCACAAUGAGACAAACAACCAUUCACUCACACACACAAUCGUCCUACAAAGUAUUUGGAGUGUUCAGUCGGCCUAACAUGCAUGUUUAUGUGAUGUGGGAGGAAACCAGAGUAUCUGGAUAAAACCCAUGCAGGCAUAGGGAGAACAUGCAGACUCCACACAGGAAAGCCUGACUCUUAAUAUCAGAACUUUGAGGCGGACGUACUCACCACUCCUCCACUGUACUGUGCUCUUCACAAAUCAAUCUCUAUUUUUGUAGGAGGACGUUAAUGUUAGUGCAAAACUUUCAAAUUUACCUUGUGUACAUCCAUGAAAAUUUUAAAAAUCAGGUCUGCUUUUCCAAUGUUGCAACAAGUUCCAUUUCAACUUCUAUGAUUGCUGUCACAUUCAUCAUCAUUAAAACCAUCCUUCUGUGGCUGUAUUUGUCAACGUAACAUAAAUAUCAACAAAAGAAAAACCUCACAAAGCGAAACACAGUUGUGCAGCUAAUCUUUCCAAAUAUCACUGGCAGUGCUCCUUGUGAGGCUUGCAUAUGUACUAUUUUGUCACCGGGACCAGGUGGUUUCAGCUUUUACAUGCGUCUCUAUGUCAUCUAGAGGUGACACUCCAUCAGCCAAAUGGCUUUGUCUCAUUGUUGUGGUAAUUUAUUGAUGUUUUCCUCACACGUGGAUAAUGGGAGAAUGGCUUGAAGAUUGAUGAGGCAGUUCAGAGCGUGUCUGCUAUUGCAGACAACCACAGUCAAUGGUCAGCCAGUCAUGUCAGCUCUGAGCCCCACAGCUGAUUUAUUUGACACACAGUCUGAUGGCUUCAUGAACAUUGAACAUGUCCAAUGACAGGGUAUUCAUAGAUUAUGUGAAAAGGCUGUUUCAUCUCAGUUUCAAGUUUUUAUUGUCCCAAUGAAGGGAUGUCUUGGCAUUAGAUCAUCUUAAUGUGAAACGCUUGAAGGCAGACUUUGGGUAAUGACAUGGCAAACUGAGAAAGAAAAUCUGCCUCAUGAUAUGCUAACAUGGUGGAAAUCUAACACUGGUAGUAUUCUCUGUGACAGUCAGUGACCUCUAUGGGACUUUGACAGACCUGAUAUGAUGCUCCAAUUUAGUGAAAUAUGAAGUUAUACCUGUAAUUUCCGGACUACAAGCCGCUACUUUUUCCCCUUAUUUUGGGUCCUGCGGUGUGUGCAAUGAUGCAGCCAAUUUGUGCAUUUUUCUGACGGCCGCCAGGGGCGCUCGAGCAUGGAAUGUGGUAGUGAGACACGUGGAAUAUAUGUGUUGAGGAAGACGGUAGUUUGCACCAUUACCAGUGGUUUAACUUUGUGCUUAGUGCAUGAAUAGAGGUGGCGAGCCCUUGUAAUUGUACAUACGUAGAAUUGGAAGAUCCACAUCAUUGAAAAUGCUUGAAGAAAUUAAAGUGGCACUCCGAGUUGAAUGGGAGGCUUGGAUGACCAGCAGCGAGAGAUCGUUUGUCAAGACUGGCUGCAUGCGAAGAGCAGCUUUUGCACGGGUCUGCUGGUGGAUCCUGGCAGCGUGGAGCAGUGUGAAAAAAGUUCGCCAUCACCAACGGGUUUCGAGCGACCGGUCUGCUGCGUGACAAGGAGGACGGCACAGGCUCAGGAUUGAAUUUGCCUGAUUAUGGGAGACAUUGAAGGCGACAGCGAAGGAGACACUGAAUAUGUGUGUGACGAAGUUUAUUUGAGCCUAUUCAUAUCCGACACUGAAGGUGAAGACUUUUUGUUUUCAGUGCACAGGAAGAAGAUGAAGAUUGGUAACAAAGACUUUUAUGUUUCUAAUAACCAGCCCAGUUAGUGCUGUACUCCCGUGUUGCUGCUCUAUAACUGAUGUGUUGCUGGAGCUGUUAGGAAAGAAAAGUUAAGGCAUGUUAUUAAAAUUUUGAAAACUCUUGUGUAUUUCUUUGUACAUAUCUCAUGUUACUAUGUGGGCACACGCGGCUUAUAGACAAGAGAAGCUUAUUGUUGUGAAUUCCCUGCUGUGAGGGCUGGACAACGAGCUGCCUCGCUUUGGGACAAUUGUGUUGCUGCGCAUGCGUAUAAUAUUCUCAAAAGAACCGCGGUUGAGGGAAGAAGUUCGUCCUCGGCCGAGUAUUAAUGUGCCUGCAUUCGCAUAAAUAACCGUGUGCGUCGGUGAUAAGUAAGUUGUAAUGUUCGCCACGUACACUGAAGUCAUAUAUGUGAUACUUGUGUUACUAGUUUAUAUUGUAGCUUGUUGCACGUUAUCUCCGCUGGUAGCACCCCGCUGCUAACGUAGCAUUCUAAUUCUCACGUUGCGCCAGCGCGUUGUAAUAUAUGUACAAAGUUAGACUGUAUUGGAUCUCUAAGUGUGCAUUCAGAGUUUGAUCCCAUUCAAUGUUCAUAUUUGAGAUCGCUGUCAAUUGUGGUCGUAGGUGACCGAUUGAUUUAGCUACCGAGUGCAUAGCCUGCAGCUAUAGCAGCUCUCUUGUUUGUAGGACUGGUCAUUUAUUAUCGAUGGUUCAUUGCUUGUCCAAUGCGGACAUCUAGUGGUCAUUUUGGUGUAACGCCUAGUUUAUUUCCGCUGGAAUUCAUUCAAUUCAUUGUAUUGUGAACUUUACAGGUUUAUUUCACCAUUAUAAGUUUAUUGAUGUUUUUCUUAAUAUAUUUCUUUCAGAUACACAAACCACACACUCACAUUAAUGUCCAGAUGCAAUCAAAGGCACAAUGGAUGCAAACAACUGUAAAUAAAGUUCAUCAAACCAAUAGAAGUUGCUGCAUCUUCUCUUACCGGAGGAUUAGGUCAAUUAUAUACAGCCGGCACAUUUGUCACCGAACUCCAAUUCCUUACAAGUGGUCCUUCGAGCCCGGAUCCUGUUUAUAAUUGCACUAUGGCAACUUCUAGCAACUAUGGAGAAGAACAACCUGCAGUUGUAUCUCGUCCAAUUCGGCCUCAUCAACUUCCCAGACACCUACACGACUUUGUAAUAGACAGCCCAUCCUAUCUGACCCGACGAGAGUCACCCCAGGUAAUGGAGGUUGAACAAGAGGAAUUUGCAGAAGAUGCUUCGCUGAUUGGGACAGAAGCAUUGAGGCUGGAAGGGAUGGAAGCACGUAUGAGAGACAUCGCUCGGCAAAUGAGACAGCUACAGUCAGCCAUGGACAGUGUCAAAGGUCAAACUCACCCUCCACGAAAUCAGUUCGACUCAUCAUAUCCUCGUCGGAUUUCUAGCCUUCCUCACAUUAAUGGGACCACCAGAACAUCCCCACUUAUGGAUAAUCAGAUGAGUUCGACAUCAGCUGAUGGAGGACAUCGUCAUCUACUAGACAACUACGAGCUUGGCCCGCCGACAACACAGUCCACACAUCAGCAAGAAAUCAGCUCAACGACUAAAACUGUCCGAGCUCUGCAGCCAUCAGUUCAGGUAGCAGCACCUACGCUGGAUCUCGGUGAUCUCACUCGUCAUUCAGCUGCUCUAACCGGAUCAAGGCCGGAGUCUUCACAGCCAUAUUUAACGCAGUCUACUCAUCACACCCCACUUCCUCAGAGAGUAUUAACACCACCUCUACCCGUAAUGCAUACUGACCAGCAUGUUCAGCCAAUUCAUCACCCAGCUCAACCAAUAAUAAACCGGCCUGUAGCUCCACUAACAAGGCCACCUACUCUGUAUACUGCUCAGCCUGCAUCUCCGCAGCCUCAAGGCACACUACAGCCAUUUACCCAACAGCCGAAUUAUCCUCAACACGUCCAGCAGCAGAUAACUUACUCACCUGGGCCGCAAUUAGGAUUCCAACCUCCUCCAAGACAAGUCUUCAGCACCAUUCCUCAGCAUCAGCCAGCGACUGAUCCAGCAUCUUAUUCAUUUCCACAAGCUGGAUAUCCCCCUGCUGGUCAACCACAGUUAUACCAGCCUGCCUCUCAACCAGCUGCCUAUUAUUACCCACAGGUUGCGCCCUCUGCUGCUCAACCUACUACAGCUGCAAAUAAUUCCCCCUACAACAAUCCUGCAACACUCAGCAUGACAGAAAUGGCUAUUGCAGCUUCAUACGGUAUUCCUAAACCCAAGCUGCCAUUUUUCAGUUCCGGACGGGAGAGUGACUUUAUUAUGCUGAAAAAAGGGCUGGAUAGCUUACUUAGUCCACAUAGACACCUAACUGAAGACUAUAAAUAUCAAGUUUUACUUGAUCACCUCAAACUGCCUAGUGCGUAUCAAAUAGCAAAGAGGUACAUCCAUGAUCCUACACCGUACAGUAGUGCAAUGGACGCUCUACAGCAACGUUAUGGGCAGCCAAGACAGUUGAUCCAGGGAGAACUAAAAGCCAUAUUGAACUCCCCACCGGUGAAACCUGGAGAUUUCAAGGCUUUUGAGGACUUCUCCUCAGCUGUAAAUACACUGGUGGGAAUGCUAAGUCGCAUGCAUGGUCCCGCUCAGUCUGAGCUGCAGUGCGGUUCCCACGUUGACACUCUCCUAGCUAAACUGCCUGCUAACUACAGAGAUAGCUUUGCCGAAUACUGCAUUAAAAGAGGGAUCAUCCGCAGUGGAAGCGACCAAACAUACACACUACCUGACCUCGCUGAAUGGCUCGAUAUGAAGGUUCAGGUGCUCCAGGUGUCACGACGUGCUGCAGACGGCAACUCAGCCGAGUUCAGUCACACUACACAGAAAGAGACUAAAGCAGUUAAAUCACAGUGGAGCAAACCAGCUUCAGUCUACUUCAGCAGUGACUCGUCAACAGUCAAGCAACAACAGCCCUCUUCACAGAGACAGCAGACUUACUCCCAACCAAGAUCAAAGAAAGAUCAGUCUACAGGCAAGAAAAGAGAGCGCUUCACACCAUAUUGUCCAUAUUGCACGACCACCCAGGAUCAUUACCUCAACGGUUGUCCUGAGUUUGAGAAAAUCACUACAGCAGAGAAAGCAGCUUGGAUUAAGGACAAAGGUAAAUGCUGGCGAUGUGGACGUGGCCACUCACCUGAAAGUUGUACUCUAAAGAAACUGUGUUCCACGUGCAACAAACAACACCUGCUGAUACUUCAUGACGUCGUGGCUCAAGACCCACAGCUAAACAUCCUCACUGUUAGCACUCCCACCAACGCAGUGUACCUGGAUCAUGCCAGCCACUCAGGACGUGUUCUUCUGAAGGUGGUACCAGUGCUGCUUCGCCACGGUAAACGAACACUGAACACGUAUGCUGUGUUAGACGACGGCUCCGAGCGCACAGUGAUUCUAGCUGCAGCAGCCAAACAUCUUGGGUUACGUGGAGAAGAGGAGUCUCUCCAGCUAAAGACCAUCAGACAGGACGUCUUGAAGCUCCAAGGAAUGAUGGUGUCAUUUGAAGUAUCUGCCAACACACAGCCACGCGUCUAUCAACUCAUCAGCCAAGCCUUCACUGCAUCUGAGCUCCAGCUAGCAGAGCAGUCAUGUCCAGGAAACAAGUUGUCAAGGAAAUACAACCACCUGAAAGGGGUUCCUCUACACACGUUCACCAAAGUGCAGCCCAUGGUACUAAUCGGGUCCGACCACCCUCAUUUAAUAACUCCAAUUCAACCAGUACGUGCAGGUCCUCUCGGAGCACCAGUAGCUAUUUGCACUCGGCUCGGCUGGGCAAUACAGGGACCCACUAACUUUCUUCAGCAUUCACCUGGUGAGAGCUCUUUCCUUCACCUGUCGGUUGAGGCACCAUGCCCUGACAUACAUAGGGAUGUUCAGCGACUGUGGCAGCUCGACAUUUUGCCAUACAAAACCGAAAAGGAGGUGACACGAUCCAAGCAGGACAAAACAGCCCUCACCAUGCUGGACGAGAGAAGCAUCAGUGUAACAGUGGAAGGCGUCUCAAGGUACGCAACGCCUCUCCUUCGAAAGAAGAAGAUAGCUCUACCACGUGCAUCACCUUCUGCUGUGAUGCCUCUCCUGCGUGCUACAGAGCGGCGCCUAGCUACUAACCCUGAACUUGCAAAGAUCUAUAAUCAAGAAAUACACAAGCUGGUAGAAGCUGGGUAUGUAGCGCAGAUCACCAGUGAGGAAGCCACCAGAUCUGUGGAAUCCUGGUAUAUCCCACAUCACUUAGUAUACCACAACCAAAAGGCAAGAGUGGUAUUCAACUGCUCCUUUCGCUACCAAGAUGUUGCCCUGAAUGACGACCUGCUACCGGGACCCUCUCUCGGACCUUCUCUGUUGGGAGUUCUACUUCGGUUUCGAGAACAUACGGUUGCAAUCAGUGGAGACAUAAGAGCUAUGUUUCACCAGGUCAGACUGCUUCCAGAGGAUCGUCCACUCGUCCGCUUCAUCUGGCGUGAUAUGGACAGAGACAGACCACCUGACAUCUACGAGUGGCACGUUCUGCCAUUUGGCACAGUGUGCAGUCCUUGCUGUGCAAUAUACGCUCUACAGCGCCACGUUCGAGAGCACCAGAAUGAAGAUGAUGACAUGCUGGAGACGGUAACCACUUCAUUCUAUGUGGAUAACUGUCUGAAAUCUCUCCGAUCGCCACGACAAGCUAAAGAUCUCCUGGACCGCCUGCGUGCAUUCCUGGCCAAGGGUGGAUUCGAGCUCAGACAGUGGGCAUCCAACAAGACUGAGGUAAUAUCUCACCUUCCAACCACUGCACGAUCAGCAAUAUCUGAACUGUGGCUAACUGCUGAAGGAGCUGAGCCCAAAGAGUCCACACUUGGACUGAUAUGGCACUGUGUGACGGACACACUAGGUUACAAAUGUCAGCUUGCUGCACCCAAACCGCCUACUUUGCGGAAUGUUUACAGAGUGCUUGCCUCACAAUAUGACCCUCUUGGCUACAUCACCCCCUUCACCCCCAGAGCCAAAGUCCUGGUCCAGGCUCUUUGGGCUACAGAACGACAGUGGGAUGAGCCAAUCGCCAAUGAGCUACUUCCAGUAUGGCAGGCAUGGGAAGACGAGCUCCCUCAGCUGCAAAACAUCGUCUUCCCAAGGUGUUACGUCCCAGAAUCUGCUGACAACGACUCAGCAGUGAAGCAGAUUCACAUCUUCUGCGACGCCUCCGAGAAGGCCUACGGCUCAGUGGCCUACUUGCGAUCUGAGGAUGCAGAGGGACGUAUCACUGUGUCAUUUAUUAUGGCCAGGUCACGUGUCGCACCCAAACGACAACAGACGAUGCCCCGACUGGAAUUAUGUGCUGCAGUCACAGGGGCUCAACUGGCCAAUGUUCUUCAGACGGAGUUAACUUCGCCCAUUCAAUCUGUGGUGAUGUGGUCUGAUUCAACAACUGUACUGAGCUGGAUACAGUCAGAGUCCAAUCAGUACAAGGUAUUUGUUGGUACAAGAGUGACUGAAAUACUCGACUUUACCACCCCAGAAUCAUGGAGGUAUGUUAACACAGACCUGAACCCCGCUGACGAUAUCACACGCGGCAAGACCCUCCUCGAGCUAUCCCAGCCUAACCGUUGGAGUCAAGGGCCUACGUUCCUGUACCAGUCCUCAGAUCACUGGCCAGUGAACCACUCAGUGAGUAAUGAAGGUCAUGACGAGUUAAAAUCUCAAGCUUUCUGUGGUCACAUAUCUAUCACCAGCACAGAGGCACCUGAUCCUGUUCAGUAUAAUACAUGGGAUGAACUGCUACAAGCAACCCAUCGGUCCUUACAUGGGGCGGCAGGUCCUUCCAUGUCAGCUGCCGAUCGUAUUGAAAUGGAGACAACGCAGCUGAGAAGGAUACAAGCUGACAGCUUCCCCGAGGAACUGAAGGCACUCAAGCAGGGGAAACCAGUACAUUCUAACAGCCGUUUAAGUGCUCUUAGCCCUGAAUACGAUCAAGUGUUGGGCCUCAUUCGAGUUGGUGGUAGACUACGCAGAUUGGAGGACAUUCCAGAAGACAGUCUUCAUCCUGUUGUCCUUAGCCCAGAUCACCCGAUCACACAGCUCUUGGUGAAGGACUACGACCAGCGUCUACACCAUGCUGGCUCAGAGAGGGUUUUCGCUGAGAUCCGGAGAAAUUUCUGGAUAUUACGUGGGCGACAGGUAAUCAGGAAACAUCAGAAACAUUGUGCUGAGUGUCGUAAAUGGCGUAGCACCCCUGUUGCACCGAUGAUGGCAGACCUGCCGGCUGCUCGGCUCCGGAUCAACAAACCCCCGUUCUGGUCCACCGGAGUUGACUGUUUUGGUCCCUAUACAGUGAAAGUCGGAAGAAGACAUGAGAAACGGUGGGGCAUCAUAUUCAAGUGUCUUACUUCCAGAUGUGUUCACCUUGAUCUGCUGCCACACUUGGACACAGACUCAUUCUUGAUGGCUUUGCGGCGUUUCAUUUCACGACGUGGCAAGCCAUAUGAGAUUCUAUGUGACAGAGGGACAAACUUCCGAGGUGGGGAGCGUGAGCUCAAGGAAUCUUUGGAAGAUCUCGAGCCAUCACUGAGACAACAGCUGGUAAGCCAAAGUAUCACUUUCAAGUUCAAUCCUCCCCUCGCUCCUCAUUUUGGUGGUGCGUGGGAGAGGGAAGUAAGAUCAGUCAAAGCCUCCCUUCAAGUUGUACUGCGGGAGCAAGUUGUAUCUGAGGAGGUGUUGUCAACCGUCCUGGUUGAAGUGGAGGGUAUACUCAACUCGAAACCACUCGGCUACUCCUCUUCUGACUUGGCUGACCCUGAUCCUGUAACACCUAACUUGCUGUUGAUGGGGCGGCACGACGCAUCGCUUCCUCAAGCAGCAUACGGCUCCAGUGAACUUCUGGGGCGCCGACGUUGGAAGCACAGCCAGGUCUUGGCGGACCAGUUCUGGAGCCAAUUCACCCGCAAGUACCUUCCUGACCUUCAGCGACGCCAGAAGUGGAAAAAACCAACCGUGGCUCUUGCUACGGAUCAAGUGGCCAUGGUAGUGGAUUCUCAGCUUCCUAGAGCACUCUGGCCUAUCGGGAAGGUCGUCAAAGUUCACCCCAGUCAAGACGGGACAGUUCGUACAGCAGACAUUGACAUUAAGGGAACAGUCUACACUCGUCCAGUUACCAAGUUGGUACUGCUUCCAGAGAUGCCUAAUGACCGGGACAUUGGAGUCCCCUAAUCACAGCAAGUACUUGUACCUUUUUACACAUUCAGGAAUGAAUGUGGGGGCGGCUGUUGUGAAUUCCCUGCUGUGAGGGCUGGACAACGAGCUGCCUCGCUUUGGGACAAUUGUGUUGCUGCGCAUGCGUAUAAUAUUCUCAAAAGAACCGCGGUUGAGGGAAGAAGUUCGUCCUCGGCCGAGUAUUAAUGUGCCUGCAUUCGCAUAAAUAACCGUGUGCGUCGGUGAUAAAUACACAAACCACACACUCACAUUAAUGUCCAGAUGCAAUCAAAGGCACAAUGGAUGCAAACAACUGUAAAUAAAGUUCAUCAAACCAAUAGAAGUUGCUGCAUCUUCUCUUACCGGAGGAUUAGGUCAAUUAUAUACAGCCGGCACAUUUGUCACCGAACUCCAAUUCCUUACACUUAUGUAUGUGCACAUUUUGUUUUCCUUUAAAAUGUACUGGGUGAGGCUUGUAAUCAGGGGUGCCCAAUAGUCCAGAAAUUACGGUAAUAAAUGGGGACCUGUUGAUUCCCGUGGUGAUUAUGGUCCCUGGGCUUGCGAUGCACAAUUGUUUGUGUCUCAUUUAAGUCAAUUUGUUCACCAAUUUCUUAACCCUUUAUAGGCCACUUUUCAAAUAUUUUUAAUACUAUGAAAAACAAAAGAACU